CUGGUUGAUUCUGCCAGUAGUCAUAUGCUUGUCUGAAAGAUUAAGCCAUGCAUGUCUAAGUAUAAAUAUUUUUAUACCGUGAAACUGCGGACGGCUCAUUAAAUCAGUUAUAGUUUACUUGAUCAUAUUUUUUACUUGGAUAACCGUAGUAAUUCUAGAGCUAAUACAUGCAAAAAAUCUGGACCUCGCUUGAGGGAAGGAUGAAUUUAUUAGGUAUUAGAAACCGGCGCAAAAGCCCAAAAAGGCUUUGAAGUUAUGGUGAAUUCAUAAUAACUAAUCGAAUCGCAGAGACUUUUAGUCGGGCGAUGAUACAUUACAAAUUUCUGCCCUAUCAACUUUCGAUGGUAGUAUAGAGGACUACCAUGGUUAUAACGGGUAACGGGGAAUUAGGGUUCGAUUCCGGAGAGGGGGCCUGAGAAAUGGCCACCACUUCCAAGGAAGGCAGCAGGCGCGCAAAUUACCCAAUCUCAAUUCGAGGAGGUAGUGACAAGAAAUACCAGUACAGGGCCCACUGGGUACUGUGAUUGGAAUGAAUACAAUUUAAAAACCUUAAUGAGGAACGAUUGGAGGGCAAGUCUGGUGCCAGCAGCCGCGGUAAUUCCAGCUCCAAUAGUGUAUAUUAAAGUUGCUGCAGUUAAAAAGCUCGUAGUUGGAUUUCGGAUUAAUGAGAAGUUAAGGUCCAUCUUUCCGAUGUGUACCUUAUUCUCGUUUCCUUCCUUUUGAAUACACCCCCUAAAAUUAUAUUUUGGGGAUCAGCGUGUUUCAAAUCUUUUACUGUGAAGAAAUUAGAGUGUUCAAGGCAGGCGUAAUCUAGCCUUUGAAUAUAUUAGCAUGGGAUAAUGAAAUAGGACUUUAGUCCUACUUUCGUUGGUUUCUAGGGCUAAAGUAAUGAUUAAUAGGGAUAGUUGGGGUCACUAGUAUUUAAUUGUCAGAGGUGAAAUUCUAAGAUUUAUUAAAGACUAACUACUGCGAAAGCAUUUGACAAGGAUGUUUUCAUUAAUCAAGAACGAAAGUUGGGGGAUCGAAGAUGAUCAGAUACCGUCGUAGUCUCAACCAUAAACUAUUCCGACCAAGGAUCCGGGGGUGUUAAAUAUGGAGGACUCGAGGUGCUCUGAUGAUUCUACUACUSUCCGGGCACUCAUAGAGAAAUCAUAAGUAUUUGGGCUCCGAGGGGAGUAUGGUCGCAAGGCUGAAACUUAAAGGAAUUGACGGAAGAACACCACAAGGAGAGGAACCUGCGGUUUAAUUUGACUCAACACGGGGAAACUUACCAGGCCCAGACACAGUGAGGAUUGACAGAUUGAGAGUUCUUUCUUGAUUCUGUGAGUGGUGGUGCAUGGCUCGUUUCUAGUUGGUGGAGUGAUUUGUCUGGUUAAUUCCGUUAACGAACGAGACCUUAACCUAUUAAAUAGUUGCUUGAACACAUGAAUAUUCUAUUCUUUGUUCGGUUAACUUCUUAGAGGGACUCUUCACUGAGAGAGUGAAUGGAAGUUUGAGGCAAAAACAGGUCUGUGAUGCCCUUAGAUGUUCUGGGCCACACGCGCGUUACACUGACAUAUUCAACGAGCAUUUUCCUGACCCGAUGGGGUCGGGUAAUCUUUUAAAUGUAUGUCGUGCUGGGGAUAGAUCAUUGUAAUUAUUGGUCUUGAACGAGGAAUUCCUAGUAAGUGCGGGUCAUGCAACUCGUGCUGAUUACGUCCCUGCCCUUUGUACACACCGCCCGUCGCUCCUACCGAUUGAAUGGUCCGGCGAGAACUCAGGAAGGAUAUUGAGCUUGGAUAUCGUCAGAUGAUCCAACUAUAUCCAGAAUUUGUUCAAACCUUACCAUUUAGAGGAAGGUGCAGUCGUAACAAGGUUCCGUAGUGAACCUGCAGAUGGAUCA
rnacentral:rRNA from 1 species